AGCUUAUUAAGAGCGGUGGAGGGACUGGCCCUAUGAAGCCCGGCAACCUGUAUAUGUGUUUGCAUAUUAUAAGGUGCUAAAUCCUGCGGUGUAAACCGAGAGAUGAGGA
rfam:Clostridium tetani E88, complete genome.